rnacentral:misc_RNA from 1 species
GAUGAAGAACGUAGCGAAAUGCGAUAAGUAAUGCGAAUUGCAGAAUUCAGUGAAUCAUCGAAUCUUUGAACGCACAUUGCGCCCGCCAGUAUUCUGGCGGGCAUGCCUGUUCGAGCGUCAUUUCAACCCUCAGGCCCCCAGUGCCUGGUGUUGGGGAUCGGCCCAGCCUUCCUGUAAGGCCGCCGGCCCCGAAAUCUAGUGGCGGUCUCGCUGUAGUCCUCCUCUGCGUAGUAGCACAACCUCGCAGUUGGAACGCGGCGGUGGCCAUGCCGUUAAACACCCCACUUCUGAAAGUUGACCUCGGAUCAGGUAGGAAUACCCGCUGAACUUAAGCAUAUCAAUAAGCGGAGGA